AGUGGAGCACCUCGCGGGCACCUGAGGUUCAUCAGGGAGAGUAGGGCAGGUGUGUUGUGGCCCGAAGGGCGGUGAGGCCUGGCGGAGACGGCUAGGAGAGAAGGGGGUUGAGAGGGUCUCCAGGCGCCGAGGGAACCCGCCCCACGUUGCCAUGGUGUUUGUUGGACUUGGAGAAGGACACCUGAGGGACCACUGCGAGCCACGGAGAUUACAGCACUGGAGCCAGCUAGGCUGCUGCCUCUGCCUAAGGGAAACGGAGUCCUCUCCGCUGACUGCUUUCAGCUGUUGCCUGCCCGCUGCGUUCGGCGAAGGCUUGAAGAGAGAUUUCCACAGUGAUGCCCAGCAGCUGCCACCAUUUGGGAGGGGGUGGGCGGGGGUCGUGUCCACAAGGAAUGGGAAAGAUUCCUUGCUUUGCAGCUGCCGUCCCACCAAACCUUUCCCACAUUCUAAGAAAGGGAGGAUUCCUGAGACAGCUGCUCCAAACUGCGUGGAGGCAGGGUUAAUUUUGCCUGCAGCUCUCCGAAGGGUUGUUGGUUUUUUCCCCCCUCUCGUGAUUUUCCAGUGUUAAAGUUAGGUUCGCCUCCUCAGCUUAGUUUAAAAGAUAAAUUAUAUUAGGAAUGAAACCAACUCAGAUCAUAAUCUCUGCCCUUCCCCUCCACCCCCACAAUUCACAGUAAAGCAUUCUUCCUGAUGCAUUAGUGAAAACCAAACAAAUAUGGUGGUUUUUUACCCUUAUGACUCUUUGAAGUCAUAAGGCCUUUAAAGAAAAUAAUGUUUAAAAUACUGGUAAUUCCCUAAUAUGAAAGAGAAGCAAGUGGGAGUCAAAAGUUAGGAAGUAUUGUGGAGGAGUCAGAAGAAAAAAUAAAUUACCAUAUAUUGGUUUUAAGGAUGAAUAGUUUCCUAGAGAAAAGAUUAUUUGGGAUGGGUUUGACAAUUAAACUGAAUUUUAACUAUCCCGUGGACAUUUGGGAAGAGGACAGCAACAUGAAAAAAGACAAGCAUGAGAGUAUGUUUAGAAAAGUGUUACCUUUUCAAAAUACUAAAAUGAAUCCAGCUGCAGCAAAUCUCAUGUGAUUGCAAAUGUGUGUUAAAGAUUUGGUUUACAUUCGUGGGUUUAAAGACUCCAAAGAUGAGGCCAACAUUUUUCUCGUUACUUGAAUUAGUGAUUGGUGCAUUGCCAGGGUAGGAGGCAACAUCAGUAACUUGCCAUUCUUAAAUUGCUGAAAAAAACUAAACACCCCAGGUUUAUAGUUCAGAUGGUUAAAUGGCUUAAGUCUGGAAUGGGGAGUGUGGUGUGCCUGCCAGGAAGAGGCAAUUUUCACUUGAUCUUUAACACAUCUGUAGGGAGGAAGGGAAAGAGGCAUUAAACAAAGGGAGUCUUCUUUUAAAC